UACGAAGGGGGCUAGCGUUGCUCGGAAUCACUGGGCGUAAAGCGCACGUAGGCGGCUUUUUAAGUCAGGGGUGAAAUCCCGGAGCUCAACUCCGGAACUGCCCUUGAUACUGGAAAGCUUGAGUCCGGGAGAGGUGAGUGGAACUGCGAGUGUAGAGGUGAAAUUCGUAGAUAUUCGCAAGAACACCAGUGGCGAAGGCGGCUCACUGGCCCGAUACUGACGCUGAGGCACGAAAGCGUGGGGAGCAAACAGG
rnacentral:rRNA from 1 species